rnacentral:rRNA from 1 species
UACGAAGGGGGCUAGCGUUGUUCGGAUUUACUGGGCGUAAAGCGCACGUAGGCGGAUCGUUAAGUCGGGGGUGAAAUCCUGGAGCUCAACUCCAGAACUGCCUUCGAUACUGGCGAUCUCGAGUCCGGAAGAGGUGAGUGGAACUCCUAGUGUAGAGGUGGAAUUCGUAGAUAUUAGGAAGAACACCAGUGGCGAAGGCGGCAUCCUGGACCGGGAUUGACACUGAGGCGCGAAAGCCAGGGGAGCAAACGGG